UUUUUUUUUUUGAAUACUAAGAGAUUUUGGGCCGAAUGCCAUAAUCCUCCAGACCCAAAACCACACCAUGUAAUAUUAGUUUCGUACCAAGCAUCACUCGAACCGGCGACCUUUAAGUUUUACCUAAAGUUUUUACCAAUUAAGAUAAUGAUACUUGGUCGUUUUAAUUAUGUAUGGUUUUUUU
rnacentral:sRNA from 1 species